ACAAAAAUAGUUACUUGGAGUUAAUGGUACUUAGAGUUUUCGAGGUACAAUUAACUCAAGAGGAAAGUCCGAGCUGCUGUAAGACAGUGUUCCAUUUAACGAAUGGCCGUAGUAAUACGAGGGAAAGUGCAACAGAGAUUAGACUGCCACAGUAAUGUGGUAAUAGGUGAAAAGGUGUGUGUAAGAGACCACCAGUCUCUAUAGCAAUAUAGAGAGCUUGUAAACCCAACAUGGCAGCAAGAAACAGAUGGUUAGCGUCUUACAAGGCUAUUGUUUCGCUAGAGGCACAAAGUAAUUUGUGCAGUAGAUUAAUAACUAUUACUACAAAACUCGGCUUAUUUGUACCU
rnacentral:RNase_P_RNA from 1 species